rnacentral:lncRNA from 1 species
AAAUGGGUCAGAAUCAUUUUCAGUGGUGUUAGGUUAUGUAGUUUCAGACUCCAUGCUGCAUUUUCUCUUGCACAUGCCAUCCAUUUGCUUAUUUUGGAGUGUGAGUAUUCCUUCUUAUUAAUUUGAAUUCAAAGCACAAGCCUCCCAUUGUUCAACAUUACCCAACAAGAGUGUCCAGUGAUGACCGAGUUAUCUCACCUGCUAUACUUUUACUGCAAUAAUUAAUGACACCUGGAUGAGGAGGCGUGCGCUGACUUCAUUGUUCACCCGGGAUAGUGCAUGAGCCCACUGAAUUAGAGCUGCUUCUACCAGCAAAGUGAGCAGUACACAUAGGUGCAUGUUUGAAACAUGAAUCACAUAGAGCUAUGGAGUUUUGCCAAGUGAUGUGUUUUCUUUUUCUUUUUUCUUUUUUUUUCUUUUUCUUCUUUUUUUUCCUUUUCUUCUUCUUCUUCUUUUUUUUUUUUUUUUUUUACUAUGCAAAGAUGGGAAAUGCACAAACUUCCAAGACAUGUCUGAAGAACUUUACAAUACUUGAAUUUUUUCUUUAAUCAUCCCAUCACAUUUAUGGUCAUUGAUGCUUCCAUUGUUAUUUUUCUUUUGUUCCCUUCAACUUCAAUGGUUUGUAAAUUUUCAAUGCACAACCUGAACUUUUGUUUGAAGUUAACUUCCAAUCCUAUUGGCUGCCUGUGAACGGAGAUUCUGUCAUCCUUACACGCAUCUUUUAGUUGACUGUGCAUUAAAAGUUUUAUUAAUGUAGG